GUAUUUAUCGAUAGAGCAACAGCUGAGAUCGCCUUUGAAUUCAAUAACAAGUGCAUUUUCAAUGAAUUAGGUAUUUAACUAAGAAACUCAGCUGAAAUGCGCAAUUAUUGACUGCCUUAACUAAGCCCUCGAGUUCGAAACUAUUUAGAAAAGAGUAGGUUCCAGCAUAACAACCUAAAACUGCACGCCGAACCUGCUUCGACUAAAAACACACAAGCCUCUGUUAGUAUUGGUUCAAAAGGGGGGCCCCAAGGUGAAGCGCUAAUGCGACAUCAACAUCAACGCGUGGCUGGAGCUAAUAGUGAUUGCACUAAACCCUUUGCAGCGGGUUGUAUGGAUUCCUCAAAAAUGCACUGACUGGCCAGUUCGAGAAGAUAUUGAAAUAGAACACAAAGCAAGAAGCGAAACGAAGGAAACAAAUGGUGCACUCACGGAAAACAAAACGAGAAAACGCUGAACGCGAGAAAUCUUGUAGCACCGAUGGAGCACCAAAUGAAGAGGAAGAACUGUUCAAGAUAAAAUCGAGGAUUGCUGGAAAGUCGUAAUGGACUAUCUCAACGUAGAAGACCACCUCAGCCUCGCUUCCUCGAACGUGUAUAUCGGCGAGAUGUUCAAGAGAUACAAUCGGUGCAAACGUAUUGAGGAAUUAGUAUUUAGCGACUAAUGUCUGAAACAACUGUUGCAGAUUCUAGGCGGAGCGUUGAAUAGGAGCGGAUGGGAAGAUCUAUACAUCCUGAAAAAGCUCAAAGCCUUGGACGAUACUCUGGGAACUCUGUGGCAGUUCCAGAGAAAGGUCAGGGGAAUAGAGCCGUUCCAAGUGCCCUGCGUAUCGGAUUCCUCUGGAUGGACUGUCAUCCAGAGAUGAGUGAACGGCAACGAGCACUUCAGUCGGCACUGGGCAGACUACAAAAUGAGUUUCGGAAACCUACGCGAGAACUUCUUUCUUGGACUGGAAAAAAUCCAUCGAAUGACCCUGCUACAGCCUCACGAGUUGUAUAUCCAACUCCAAGAUGUCAAUGGAGAAACCAGCUAUGCUCGCUAUGACGAUUUCAGAAUAGGGAGCGAAGAGGUUUUUUGAAUUUUCGCUCACAAAUCGUACUUUCGUGUAUCAUUUAUUCCAAUAGAUUGCAUUUAAAUCCUUUUUGCUCAUUAAUUUUCAAACAAUUUCUAUUUGGCGCUUAAGUUUGGUGGGACUUUUUUGGGAUUUCCUCUGAUGGGAUUUUUCCUCGCCAGAAUUUCCCUUUUCCCUACUCAUACUCACUUACGUUUUCUUACGUCUUAUGUCGCUGGCAACAUUGAGCAACAUUUUGCAUACCCUGGGGAAAGAGAUAUUAUAGAACUUUUACUACGUACGUAAAAGGAUAUUAUAUAAUUGAAGAAAUGUUUGUCAUCUAAUGCACCAAUAAAGGCCAAAACUAGUCA
rnacentral:sRNA from 1 species